AAGAAUAGCAUCCCCUAACCUUAGGGUUUUUGUUUUGAUUUUCUGCAGUUGCCACACAAGAGCUUUUACUCUACAAAACUCGUGAGGGGUGUUGAGGUAACCCACUCUGCACACCAUGUAUCCCCCUCCACGCAGCAGAAUAUAAGAUAUAAAACACAUUGUAAGGUUCUGCCCCAAAAACAGCCUUAAUUCCCCUAUCUGUGCUUUCAGAGACCACAUACAUAAAGCAGGCCAACUUUGAGAGCCAUGCUGUAAAUUACCGUGUUUAACUCACAGAGGAGAUCUUCUCAUUGGGUCUGAGAUUCAUGUAGUCCAUUUGUAUUUCUGCAGCCCUUGGCCAACACAGGUUUUGAAGGUUCUACUCCACAGUGUUGCCAUCCUCCAUAGCAGUCAAGAGAGAGAAAGUAGGGGAGUCAUGGAACUGAUAAAAGCCACAGAUGUUUGCAAGGUUUCAGAGUAGCCCCCGUGUUAGUCUGUAUCCACAAAAAGAAAAGGACGACGUGCGGCACCUUAGAGACUAACAAAUUUAUUUGAGCAUAAGCUUUCGUGAGCUACAGCUCACUUCAACGGAUGUAAGUAAGUUUUCCGCUCCUGCUAGGUUAUCAUGGGAGAGGAAGAUAGAGGCUUUUAUGGUGCUCCUCUAGGCCUUCAGAUACUUUUGUUUCUGAACAGAUUGAAUUUCAAGUAUUAGAUGAUAUUUGUACCAGAUCAGCCAUGACAUCUCAAAGAACUGCAGUUACUAUAAGGAGUGUGAAGACUGGCUUCUUCUCUUGAAGUAUGAGAUUUGGGGUAGAAGACUGGCAACUGAAUAUCCUGGUUGAUGUGGAAGUCCAAUAAAAUCUUGUUUGUUUAGGACCUUGAGGAGCAAUGGUGUUGGGGGAGAAGCAUAUGGCAGAGUUCAAGGCCAACUGGUAAGGAAGGUGUCCCCUAAUGAUUUGUGGUUGUGUCCUCCCAUCAAGCAAAAUCACUGGUAUUUCAUGUUGGAUGCUGUCGCAAAUAAAUCUAUCUUUGGGAUGUCCCAGGUGAGAAUCUUCUGUAGGAUAAGAUCACUCAACUCCCAUUCGAGGUGCUGGAGAAAUGUUUGCUAUGGUGUUUUGCAGACCAGGUAGAUAUGCCACUGAGAUGUUAAUUUGGUGCAUUAUGCAUCAGUUCCAAAGUUUUAUUGCCUCUGUGCACAAGGACAUUACACCUCUUGGUGGUUUAUUUAGUACAUGGUUUCUCUGUUUAUCUCUUGACUCUGACUAAGUGACCCUGAAUCUUGGGUAGAAAGUGGUCGCAUACGUACUGAAUUGCUCUGAGCUCAAGUAGACUGAUAUGAGGAGCAGACACCUCAGGGGUCCAUCUGCCUUGUGCUAGGAGGUCCUGGAGGUGAGCUCUCCAGUCUAGUCGGGAGACAUCUGUGGUGCUUAUCUUUGUGGGUGGUAUGAGAGAAUGGAACUCCCAUGCAAACCUUGUGGGGAUCCCUCUGUGAUAGGGCAUCCACCCCACACUGGCAGAGAAGGGACUAACAGAGCUGUGGGAAGGCUGCCUGGGAAGCAGCCAGACUGCGAAGAACAGCCAGUUAGGGCCCAGCAGGUCCAUAUAAAAAGGGAGCUGCAGGGAAGAAUAGUUCAGUUGCUGCUGGGAACCCAGGGAGUAAGGAUUGCAUCCCUGGAGGGCUGAGAGAACUGUAAGCACCUUGGACAGAGCAGUGGUUGGUUCUUGGGACUGAGCAGCUGAGUGCCCUGAGCUGAGGAUAAAGAAGGUUCUGGAGCUGUGGGGAAGUGGCCGAGGGAAGUAGAGCAGUAUUGCCAGAGUUACAGAGGAGCAAUAGGAGGCUGCUAUUUACAGGGUCCUUGGGUUGGGACACAGAGUAGCGGUUGGGCCUGGGACCCCCUCACUUGCCACUAGGGAAGUGGCUGGACUGUUGGACAGAGAUACUUUCCCCAGGAAGUGGGGAACCACAGAGUGUGACAUGGCCGGAUGGCUCAGUCAAGACGAGGACCCUGCAGUUCUGGUGAGAGAGGAGCUGUAGGCAGGAAAAGAGACAGAGUGCCAGUGUGCAGACCACAGAUGGGGAUUAGCUCAAGGCCAAUGCCCACAUCAUGACAAGGAGGAGGUGCCGUCUGGCGAUGAGGGCUAUACCCUGUAACACCCUCCACCAACUGAGAGAGUUGAGAACUCUGAGCAUUGGGCACAAGGAGUGCAGACUGCCAUAAGAUGUUACAAGAGUACAGGCUGCCACAUGGCUCAAAAUCUGAAGUCAGGUCCUCCUAAUGGUUUGAGGAUUCUGCUGUAGUGUGGAGAGGAGGUUCGACAUGAUGACAAACCUGUCCCUGGAGAAGCAUGCCCUGGCAGUUGUGGAGUCCAAGGUGACCCCAUGAAGCUGAUGUGUUGGACUGGUGUCAAAGAUUGCAUUGAACCAGAGUCCCACAGAGUGGAAAUGUGCUAGGGCCUUGUUGCUGCUGACUGUACCUCAUGGAGGGAACAACCCUUGAGGAGCCAGUCAUCGAGAUAGAGGAAGAUGACUUUUCCCAUUUGCCACAGAUGGGCCAUGACAACUGAGAUGACCUUUGUGAAGACUCUCACGUCAGUUGAGAGGUCAAAGGGAAGCACUUAGUACUGACGGCGGUCAUUGCUGAUGAUGAACUGGAGGCGGUGUCUGUGAGCUGGAUGUAUUGCUACCUGAAAUUAUGCAUCCUGAAAAUCAAGGCUCACAAACCAGUCUCCUGGAUCUAAUAAUGGUAUUAUUAUGGCCAGGGUUACCAUACUGAACCUCCACGUUUGGAUGAAUGUGUUCAGUCUUGGUCUCCAUCCUACCUUUUGCUUGCAUACCAGGAAGCAGCUGGAGUAGAACCCUUUUCUGAUGAAAAAGGGGGAGCUGGUUGGAUCAUCCCCUGGAGCAAGAGGGGAUGUGGAUGCCCAGAGAUCAAAGGGUCACUCUAGAAUCCUUUACUGUGUGAAGGAAUUAAUCUGUGGCAUCGCUAAAGAACUUAAGUCUUCAAAGGCAAGAUCUUCCCCUGUAUUCUGGAUUUCCCUGCGGAGUCCAAGGAGAAUAGCCAUGAAGCAUAGAGAAUAACUAUAGUGGAUGCCACAAAAAGAAAUUAGUUUUUGGCCUCAUCCAAAGAGGCUCACAAAGAGGCUUUGGCAAUCUGACAUUCAGUGAUAAGAGCCUGAAACUGGUCCUUCUGGUCUUGUGGUAAAUGAGCAAUAAAAUGAGAGAAC